rnacentral:tRNA from 1 species
CAUUAGAUGGCUGAAAGUAAGUACUGGUCUCUUAAACCAUAAAAUAAUAGAUUAACAACUAUUUCUAAUG